rnacentral:rRNA from 1 species
AGGUAGUACAAAUUUUUUCAAUAAAACCUAUAUGAUUUGGCGGCAUUCCAUCUUAUUAGAGGAACUUGUCCUUUAAUCGAUAAUCCACGAUAAUUUUCACUUUCUUCACAAUUUAUAUACCGCCAUCCUUAAGAACCAUCUUCAAAGUUCCCUCUUAAUAACAAAUAAAAAUUUAGGUCAAGGUGUAGUCCAUAUUAAAGCACGAGAUGAGUUACCUUAAAAAUAAUUUAAGGAUUAUUGGUUUAAAACCCAACAUAAAAAAGAAUUUAAAAGUAAACUAAAACUAAUAAUUCUAUUUGAAUUAGAAAAUAAAUGUGC